AACGAGCUGGAGGGAAUUAACUGCAGCAGAGCGUCCCUGUCUGUGGAGGCGAGGGGAACCUGAGCCUCGGCUGGAAUCCACUAGCAGUGGAGCAACAUGAGGUGCUCGUCCAUAGCCAUACCUCCCUGGGACAAUGUAUCCUCAUGGUGGAAACAUGAAUCGGUGAAGAAAUGCAGGGUUUCCCUCUGAAGACCUGGUGCAGGUCCAUGUGACCCAGUGAAGCCGUGCUGAGAGUUCUGGAUAAAUCAGACCAUAAGCUUUGGUUGCGGCUCUUCACGGAGACUCUGGCGGUUCUGCUUUUACGCGCAAACACAAGGACUGUGACAGAGAGCUGAAAACUGACACAGCAGAAGGAAAACACCCUCCACUGCGUCCCCUGUCUCAGCCAGCCUACUCCACUUUGUUCUUUGAGCUGUCAUGUAAAAAAUACGGAGGUGGGAGUCUCCUCCUGUUUUUUUUUCACUUGGAUUUGUCUGAGCGUGAAGGAAAAGCAGAGCAGUUUAGGGUUUUCAGCUGCUCAACCACAUCCACACUCUGACACUCCUUUUUCAACUGUAUAACAAAAGCAUUGCAUGCAAUAAAUUGCUCUAUCACAUGUUUGAGCCUAUAAAAGACAGAUUGCAUUGAGUGUUAUUUUGCUGCUCAGCCAGUGUGUCCAAAAACACUUAAUUGAUAACAAUGUCUUGUAAAAGCCUUCAUACCCCUUGAAGUUUUCCAUAUUCGCCACUUUAAUGUAUUCUAAUGGGACAAACACAAAUUUUUGCACAAUUGUGAAGUGGAAUAAAAAUGAUACAAGGUUUUUAUACAAAUAAAAAUCUGAAAAGUGUGGCAUACAUUCUUUAUUCAGCCCCCUGGGUAAACACUUUGUAAAGUCAUCUGUAAAACCUGUGGAAUACGUCUGGCUGAAGAGUCCCCCGAGCAUAAUGCUGCCACCACUGUGGGGAUACUGUUUUUGGGUGAGGACCAGUGUUACCAUUGCACCAAAUUUAAAGUUCUACAUGAAGAUCCAGAAGUUUAACUUAGAUCUCAUCUCACCAAAACACCUUCCUCCACAGAUUUCCUGCAACCUCUGCGUGACUUGUACCUAACUUAAAAUUUGACUUUUUCUGAUUUUCUUUUACCGAUCCUGAGAAAUAUUACUCGAUGCCAUUCCCGAUCUGUCCCAAAGGUGAUUGGUUUUAUUUCGGGUUAAUGGGUAAAAUGGCAGUCAACACCAGGCUUUCCAUGUUAAACAAUAUAAAUCAAAAAUGUAUCAAAAACAGCACAUGGACAACAUACCAUUUUCAAGUAUUGCCCUCCAAAAACAAGGCUCCAUGUACAUAUGUCUUUAAUGACAUCACAAGAGAGAUAAAGCAGUAGGACAGAGUUCUUUCAGGUAUGAUAAUUUCUUGUUGCAGUUCUUAUUUUCAUGUUUUUAAAUCAAAUUCCUCCUUCAAACAUUUUUAGCCAAAGCCUGUACAGUUGCCGCACAGCGUUUGAGCCUUAUGUGAGAACACCACAUGGAUUUCAGGAAAAUUUGCCAAGAAUAAAAACACAUGACAGCAGUAUGUGAAUAGAACCAAGUUAGACUGUCAUGGCCAGAUCUCAUUGUCAAAGUCCUACAGUUAUUGUUUCGAGCCAAGUCAUUAUAAAAAGCCACAUGCUUGGUUGAUGCGCUCCAAUGAGAAGAAUUUCAAGUCCUAGCGAUGCUCCCUGUAGAAGUGCUGCACCACAGGUUACUUCCGCAAAAAAUGAUUGCCAGGCAGACGGACUUAAAAUUAUCACAGUCAAUUCCCACACUGGAGACAUCAGAGGGAAAACCUGAGAAAAUAAUCUUGUCACUAGCACUGAAAUACAUCUUGAAUGCUUUGGAAUCUAUUUAGAAAUCUGUUAAAAGUUACUCAUCCUCCAUAGUGUGUUAUUACAAUAUCUAGUCUUGUGCCUCUUGUGAUGUCAUUGACUCAUCUACACACAAAGUAGAACUUGCCAUUUCUUUCUUCAGAGUGCUUUUUAAAAAUUUUGUAUUUUGUGUAACAUUUCACUGGACAGUAUCUUCAACGCACUUUGCUAGCCUUUGCAGAAUUGAGAAGACAAAAUGAUAUAUUUUAAGAAACUUGUUUUUUUUCCAUACUUGCUUCCAACCAGUUGCUUUUGGGCGGCAAACGAUAAGCUGUUAAUUGCACAUAUGUACAUUUUAUGGAAAUGCAACUGCAAUCAUUUCUAUGCAGGUCUGUGCAAAUAAAGGAUAUCAAAUAA